UACGAAGGGGGCUAGCGUUGUUCGGAAUUACUGGGCGUAAAGCGCACGUAGGCGGAUCUUUAAGUCAGGGGUGAAAUCCCGAGGCUCAACCUCGGAACUGCCUUUGAUACUGGGGAUAUCGAGUCCGGGAGAGGUGAGUGGAACUGCGAGUGUAGAGGUGAAAUUCGUAGAUAUUCGCAAGAACACCAGUGGCGAAGGCGGCUCACUGGUCCGGUACUGACGCUGAGGUGCGAAAGCGUGGGGAGCAAACAGG
rnacentral:rRNA from 1 species